CAAACAGCUUCAUAUGUGGACGCAUCAAACUCUCUCAACUCUUGGACUGUGGACUUUAGCUCAAGAAUGCCGCUGUCUCUGGGAAUCAUGUCUCGACAAAAGCAGAAUUUGCUGUGGCUGAUGAUCAUCUGUUGUGCUCCGUGCCGGAUAAGAACAGCCAGCUCAAACAAUGUGAAAGUCAACAUCCAAGUCAAUUCAACAGAUCAGUGUUUCUGGAACACAAGUAGCUCAACAGUUCCAGCUAUAAAUCUGACAUGUCUAUCAUAUGGCGAUAAUCAUAAUCAGAAUGUUGACAUAAUGAAUGUCAAACUAAACAUCUCUU